GCCCUCUUAGUGCAGUUGGCAGCAUGUCAGUUUCAUAAUCUAAAGGUCCUGAGUUCAAACCUCAGAGAGGGCA